rnacentral:rRNA from 1 species
AAUGAACGUUGGCGGCGUGGAUUAGGCAUGCAAGUCGUACGAGAAUCGUAGCAAUACGAGGAAAGUGGCGGAAGGGAGAGGAUUACGUGGGAAUCUACCCUCAGAACUGGGAUAGCGGCGGGAAACUGCCGGUAAUACCAGAUAAUGUCUGUGGACCAAAGGUGUGAUUCCGUCUGGGGAUGAGCCCACGUCCUAUUAGCUAGUUGGCAGGGUAAUGGCCUACCAAGGCAAUGAUGGGUAGCGGGUGUGAGAGCAUGACCCGCCUCACUGGGACUGAGAACUGCCCAGACACGUGCGGGUGGCUGCAGUCGAGAAUCUUCGGCAAUGAGCGCAAGCUUGACCGGGCGACGCCGCGUGCGGGAUGAAGGCCUUCGGGUUGUAAACCGCUGUCGAGGGGGAGCAACUUCCAUAGAGUUAUCUUUAUGGAUUGAGUGAUCCCUGGAGGAAGGACGGGCUAAGUUCGUGCCAGCCGCCGCGGUAAGAC